rfam:Clostridium sp. CAG:221 genomic scaffold, scf82
CGUAAGGGUAGAGGCGCAAUAAUUAUUAGUAUUAUUAAUGAGGUAAGCACUAUGAUUUAGUAAGAAAGGAAUUGUUGCCGAAGUAUACAACUGAUGCUUUAAGGUUGUAUAGCUGGGGAUGCAUAAAAUAUAUGUAUCACUGUCACAAAUUAUAUUUGUGGUGAGCUAUCAUUUGA